GACACUGAGGGACUCGGAGACGUGGACAAGGGGGACUCAAAGCAUGACACCAAGAUCUUCUCUCUGGCCGUCCUUCUGAGUAGCACUCUAGUGCUGAACAGCCAAGGGACGAUCGACAACAGGGCCAUAGAGGAACUGCAAUAUGUCACAGAGUUGACUGAGUAUAUAAAGGUCAAAUCCUCUGAUGAGGGUGAAGACGACUCAGAGUUUGUGAAGUUCUUCCCUAGUUUCAUCUGGGCUGUGAGGGACUUCACCUUGGAACAAAAAAUCAAUGGAAAAUAUGUGACUGAGGACCAAUAUUUAGAAUAUGCCUUGA